UCUCUCCUCUCUCUUGGCUGUACUCUCAGGCAGCCUCUCCCCACCCAACAUCAGAUGGCUGCCCAACAGCUAGAGGUGGAUAUGGUCCUCAGUGCCUGCUUCUUCCCUUCCACCCCAGUGAAAUCCCAACCUGACCCAUCCACUGUGGUUAGUGUGGUGGUCUCUCUAAGUGGCCAUGGUCCUGGGUGCACUGCCCGCCCCUGGUGGACAGAACCUCACGUUGGCAAGUAAUGGAAUGGUUCUUCGGAGGAAAACUGUGAUGCUGUCAUCAAGAGCAGGAGGGCAGAGUACCGGCUGGGCAAACAUACAAUGUCCACGUUGGGUACAUACAGAGCAGGAUGGGGAUGAGGGUCAAGGCGAUGUUGAAUAACUGCAGAGGCUGGGAUUUUGGAUGCUGGUGGUCGCUGAGGAAAACAAGGAUAUGAGGCAUGAUGAGGUUGGCACUGAUAACUCUUAGAGGAAGUGGGCAAUCUUCAUGUUCGUCCUGAAUACCCAGAGCACCAGAAUGGGGCCUUGGCCAUGGCGCCAUCUAGUGCUGUGUCACGGCGUAGCGGGGGAAGCCAAGGCACAAGAUGGUUUCCCCGCGAUGGCUCACUCCUUCAGCACCAUAUAGUUUGUGGUCUAGGAGACGCGAGGGGUCAUUUGCAAAUGUCUGAAGGAUGUGGGCAAGUUUGGGGAGAAAAAGUUAAGGACCAUGUGAUUGACAGCGGCUCUUGGCAGUUUGAAGAACCGACCUCUGGAAGAGGGAGGAGACGUAAUCUACGCGGCUCCAGAGCAGAAUCAGCACCAAUGUGUAAAAGCUGGAGGAAAGUUUUGAGCUAAUAAUUACAAGUAGAACUGUCUAAUGAAGAAGUGGCUUUAUAAAAGACACGUGCACCCCAAUGUUUGUUGCAGCACUAUUUACAAUAGCCAGGUCACAGAAGCCACCUAAAUGCCCAUCGACAGACGAACGGAUAAAGAAGAUGUGGCACCUCCAUCCCAUCCCCAGGAACCUGCCGCUCUCAUGACACCUCCUGGAUUCCCAGGCAGGUCUGCCUUCUAGACAUAACAUCCCUGCUGCAGAAUGAGGCCUCUUCUUUCCCAGCAAAAUAUCUGGGAUCUGACAAACAAUGCAGAUGUAAACUAGCAUGAACGCCAGAAUUUGAGAAACGGAGCCCUGUUGGAGGAACUACAAAUUUAAUUAUAGCCAAUUGCUAGAAUCUGCAGGCGGGAGUUUUGCGAUAUAAUCUUCUGAACCCUGGACAAAACUUCAUAUUUCAGUGAUAGGAGGUUCGUGGAGUAAAGUCAAGGUGGAUCUCCGUGAGCGACCCUUUGCAGCCCAGUGAUCACCCAGCUCCUCAGAGGAGCCUCAGACCCACCCGGUUCCGGCCCCUCUUCCCGCGCGGCGGCGGUGAGCCACAGCACGGGCGCCAUCUAGUGAAACCGAAAGAUCUACUCUGUCCCACCAAGUGAGCCUCCGAUGAAUGUCUUCAGACUCCUCAGCAGAGCUCUGAAUUAAGGGGCUCUUGGGGAUGGCUUCCGUGCCUCUCAUCAUUGACUAGGACACACUCUGGAAAUAGAUACAUGAGUACGCACUGUUGAGAGGGCACAAAUGGAUUGUCUCUACCAGGAAGCAUGGUCCCCUUAAGAAAUGACUCAUUGAAUCAUGAAGUUAUCCAAACCUCCGUAAUGCAAUCAUACUCUUCCUGGGAAUUUUUAAUUUGAAACUAAUUCCAAAGAAGUUAAAUAAAAUAUGCAUGAAAUUUUUUACAAUACAAUUGUAACAGUAAAAACAACAACGACAAAGCAAAGAGUCAAAAUUCUAAUGAUAGGAAACCUUGAAUACAUUACUAUUCCAUGCUAUUAGGCAACCAUUAAAAAUUACAAUGAUUCAUACUAUGGAAAAUAGGGAAAUAUCCUUAUUAUGCUAAAUGGAAGCAGCAUAUUAUAGAAUGGUGUUCAUUCAAUAAUCCUUUAUUGACCACAUGCUACGUGUACCAAGCACCAAGUAAUUAAUGGGAGCCACAGUAGAUGUACACUCACUGCUCUUAUGGACCGAGGUGUGCCACGACUGCAAAAAUGUAAAAUGAUCUAUACACACGGAAGGGGAUGUACCCAAAAAUGAAGCAAUGGUAGGGUGUGGUAAAUAUUCUCCUUAACCUUCUUAAAUUAUGUCUUCAAUUAUCAUCAUUAUAUUAAAGGAUAGGCCAGGAAGAAACAUAAACCUCUAGACCUAAGUCCCGAAGCAGAGGAAGAAUUGCAGCAGGCUCCUGGUUGAGGAAGCAGGGUUGGAAUAUACUGUUUAGAAACAUAACAAGCAACAGCCUGGCAGGUCAGGAGGCCAGGCUCUUCCCCAGCAGGGGAGCAGGAAUCCAGCUGUACACACAGGUCCUUUACAGUGAGGUUGGUUCCCGGGGGGCCACAUUUGAGCCUGACCUGACACCCUCUGUGUAUCGGGGAAAUUUUCACUGCACUAGGCUGGGCCCUGAGGGUUGGCGACACCUGUCUCUACCUGUCUCCCCGGCCUCUGAGAGGUUAACUGGGGAAGCAGAUGCCGCAUUACUCAUCAUCUUUAUGCCACCAUCUGUGUCGGGCAAGCCACAUCCCCUGGGCCUGCCUCGGUUUCCCUGUGUGAACGAGAAAAGUCGGGGCUUGUUAAUUUCUAAAGCGCCUCCUAAAGGCUGCAGCCGUGGGAGCUGUGCUGGACUCGAGGCCGAGCGAGCUAAGUCCUAAGAAGGCACAGCCCCGACCACUAGUUUCCUAUCCAAAGACACUUUUAUGAUGGUACCGAUAUGAAGAAAAUGAUGAUGACUGAACAACUACUGAGCACGUGACAAAAGUGAAGGUGAGACUAAUUAUCAGUGAACAUUAAUUGUCCAACAUGUAUGUGUAGGGUAGGGUGUGGUUAGGAAAGGCAUUUAUAGAGAUCUCAUUUCUCUCUCGAUUUACCUUCUCCUACCAAACAAGAAGUUCCUUUAUAAAGCAUGACUUUUAUCAACUCUUAUUACAUGCCAGGCCCGUGCUUAGCCCUUCCUCUGGAUUAUUUCAUUUAAUCCUCACAACGACCCUAAUUAAGUGGGAAUAUGAUCUCCAUUUUGCCUUUGAGGAAAGAGGAGCUUAAGCAAGUGAAUGACGUGUCCAAGGUCUCAUAACCCGUAAGUGGUCCAGGACUUGGGAAUCCUGGUUGAGCCUUCUCACCUGUGGAUUUUCACUGCCAUUGGAAUCUUGGGUCUGACUAAUUCUACUCAUUCUUCCAAAUCCAGCCAAUAAAACAGCCUUCUCUGGCCUCCCCGCUGUGCCACCUCCAACCAAUCUCCCAGCCUCCUGGGCUUUGUGGCUCUACGGGCUGUGGUUGCUGCCACCUGAUGUCCCUGACUUCUGUUUCCUCCUCUCAAGCUCUCAGUUUGAAUGCACUUCUGUUCUACUCCUUCUCGUCUUCACUUUACCCUGUCUGACCCUCUACUAGGAUAUUAUACUAUAUCUUGGGAUAUAGGAUGCAAACUUGAGCAUGUAUCGAAAUCACAUGGAGGGCUUAUUAAAACACAGAUUACUGGGCCUCAGCCCCAGAGUUUCUGAUGCAGUGGGCCUGGGUGGGACAGAGAAUUUGCAUUUCUCCCAAGAUUCCAGAUGCAGCUGAUGUUGUUGGUCCUGGCAGCAUCACACUUUGAUCAUCCUUGCUCUGGGGAGCCUCAUUUCCACUAUAUUUUCCUCUGUUGCUGAACUUUUUUUUUUUUAAAUAAAUUUAUUUAUUUUAUUUAUUUAUUUUUGUCUACGUUGGGUCUUCGUUGUUGCGCACGG